AGCCCGGGCGCACCUUUGGGUGCGCUUCUUCAGAUUUGCACUCUGAUGUGAAACACCUCCGAGCUUG
rnacentral:tRNA from 1 species